GUACGCUCGCAAGGCGCUCGCAGACUCCGGAGUCGCCAACAUGUCGACCGCCAUGAAUUUCGGGACCAAGAGCUUCCAGCCGCGGCCCCCGGACAAGGGCAGCUUCCCGCUGGAUCACUUAGGUGAAUGUAAAAGCUUUAAAGAGAAAUUCAUGAAGUGUCUUCAUAACAAUAAUUUUGAAAAUGCUUUGUGCAGAAAUGAAUCAAAAGAAUAUUUAGAAUGCAGGAUGGAGAGGUGAGUACAGCUAAGCGUUAUGACUUCCACCUCCCACUACUCCAAUUAAAACUUUUUUUUUCCUGAAAGGCCAUUACAGUGUGUCUUUUUCAGGCCUGGGAUUCAGCUUGUGUUUUUCAGGACUGUAGAAUUGUUUGCCCUUGAAAUGGAGGCUUAUCAGAUGAAAUUGUACCAAAAGCUGUUUCACAAUCUUGGGAACCUCUUCUUGAGCGAUAGCGUUAUACAUGAUUGCAUUCCUGAGAGCAUUUUCUUUCCACAUUUGGUUGCUACCGACCUGUCAUUAAGGUUUCCAAAUCGUGCAUCAUAAAAAUGCUGACUGAGUCAAAAGACUGAAGAUCGUGGGUACACAGUUUCUUUCUUUCGCAUUCUCAGAUGUUAAAAAUAUGCACUGGGUUGUUUUGCUCCACUUUGAGUUGUUGGGAAUGUGACAGGGAGGACAAUAGACUAUUUAAGAAAUGAUGAAAGAUGAAUGAUUCUUCCUGU
rnacentral:sRNA from 1 species